rnacentral:rRNA from 1 species
AUUGAACGCUGGCGGCAGGCCUAACACAUGCAAGUCGAACGGUAACAGAAAGCAGCUUGCUGCUUUGCUGACGAGUGGCGGACGGGUGAGUAAUGUCUGUGAAACUUCCUGAUGGAGGGGGAUAACUACUGGAAACUGUAGCUAAUACCGCAUAACGUCUCAAGACCAAAGAGGGGGACCUUCGGGCCUCUUGCCAUCGGAUGUGCCCAGAUGGGAUUAGCUAGUAGGUGGGGUAACGGCUCACCUAGGCGACGAUCCGUAGCUGGUAUGAGAGGAUGACCAGCCACACUGGAACUGAGACACGGUCCAGACUCCUACGGGAGGCAGCAGUGGGGAAUAUUGCACAAUGGGCGCAAGCCUGAUGCAGCCAUGCCGCGUGUAUGAAGAAGGCCUUCGGGUUGUAAAGUACUUUCAGCGGGGAGGAAGGGAGUAAAGUUAAUACCUUGGCUGAUUGACGUUACCCGAAGAAGAAGCACCGGCUAACUACGUG